CUCUUUCUCCCGACCGCCGUCGACCCUGAGACCACGCCCCCGCCGCCGCAUCCCGUUCGCCUGCGCUUCCUUCUCCCGGCCACAUCCCCGCGCCCCCGCCAAGCACCAGCGUCACCUGCUCGACACCAUCCCCGGCGUCGCCUCCCCACCGGACACCGGUGGUAUGCGAGCCGGCGGCGGAUGAUGCGCCUGAAUCGGAGGAGCUAGGACUACCUCGACUUCCACCCGGAGAGAAUUUCACCACAGCCUCCGUCCGCCUCGCGAACCCUGGCGUCGACCACGACGCAGCGCACACCGCCGAUGAUGUCAUGUCGACCACCGCCACCGUCGGCAUCUACAGAGGCAUGCGUGCUCAAGACCAGCCGGACGAGGAGGCGAGGAUGCUCGGAGCUGAAGCUGUGCGCGGGCAAAGUCAAGGAGCCGGCCAAUAUCCACGAUGGGCUUCGGGCCGGGCAAGGUUGGACGUGUGCGUAGGCGCAGCGUCCUGCAAUAUGUGCAAGAUACAGCCGUUACGGCCGGACCAACAGUCUGUCGGCGGCAACGACACUUGCUGCCAAAUGGAUGGCUCAGCAGCCGAUCAAUGUUCAUCUUGUCCUGCCAAACCAUGAAUCUACUCUCAGUUCUGGGGCAGCUUCUAAAUAUAGAUAGACAUAAUCAAUCCUGUCGACCUGUAGGUUCCCACUUUUCCUGUUGCAAUGUUUUAGUUGUGCUAGUAUGAACGCUCCUUUUUCACCAGGUACAUCGAUUUUCCAGGGAGAGAAUUCUGUAUGUCACAGGACCAACCUGAAAUUUGGCCUACUAUACAUAUAAAUAAAUUGACAUGGUAACCUAGGUAAAUGGAGCGGCUCCGGCGGCAACACUCGGCUAUUCAUCCCUCACAUCCAUCUACCACCAUGGUCAGAAUGCUACUAGUAGGACCUGUACUUCGAGGAGGAAGUGGGGACAUUUGUUGGUUCUGGUGUGGCGCCCUCUCUGCUUGGGUUCACCACUGACGAAUCUAUCCCUGGAUCCACGUAUGUUCUUGGAGAGGACACAUCCGUCCUGCGGCAUGGCCGUGGAUGACCUCAAGCAUGAGGUGUCUAGGAUGGACACUUGCUGGCAUUACCAUCAAGUGCGGCGCCAAGGUCAAUGGAGCGAAUUGGUGGAUCCGGCGGUUGUGCUUGUGUCAUGGAGGCCGAAGAUCCCUCUCAGGAUGCUAUUAGUAGGGCUUGUACUUCGAGUAGGAAGUAGGGCUCGACCGGUUCAUUGUUUCUGCAUGGCACGUGGUCCUGCUGUGGUGCCUUUGCCGCCCGGGUUCACUGCUGUCGACACCACUCUCGCCAGCCACGGUGCUGCUAAUGUCCCGGAGCGGACACUACCGUCUGCUGCUCCGGCAUGGAUGACCUUGAGCACGGUGUGUCUAGGAGGGUCACGCUCACCAGCUAGCCCAUCAAGUAUGUCGUCAGGUGAAGGACAUGCGUAGGCUCUAUUAGGCCUGGAAGGAUCUCGAUGAUGUUGUGCCCUUCCGAGAGCAAUCAGACAUUGGCAUCUACGCUAGCCAUUCCCUGUAUAGAUGAUCUCACAGAUCGAUUUGGAUGGCGGUGAAGACCAUCCAGUUGUUUAGGGUGGUUCUUAUGAGGUAUGCUUCUUGCAGUCAACCCUGCAGCCAGGGAACCUUCUUUGCUUCAGUGUAAGAGAUUAAACUCUUCCAUGGGAACGUGGACAUUGGUGAGCUGCAAUUUGCCGCAAACCGGAACUGUUCUCCUACUUUUGUCGAUAGCCACUCCUAAAUAAGGAGAAGGAGCUUGGUGGCGCUCAAUUUCAUGUACUUUUUCGCCCUGUCCUCUCAAUUUCGUGCGGGGAGGCAUGGUGGAACAGAUCAUGGGUUGUCUGCCCCGGCUGCUGCUCUACAGGUGUCCACCAGAAGCUGCUGUUGGUGACUUUCUCGAGCUGAUGCGCUCCUGCCGCCGACCACCACUCCGGCCCGCGGUUGGUCCUGCCACCUCCUGACCUUGAUAUUGCCGCAGAGGUCUCCUCUUCCAUGUUUUAAUCCCUAAUUCCUUUUCCCUCCUUUUGUCCAAGUAAUUAAGAAAAGUUGAUAAUGGAAUCCUGAACUCCCCAAUGUUUAACUACCUGCUAGCAUGGUGAUUUGAUUAAUUCCAGCAGAGUAUCUGUGGACAACCAUCAAUGUGUGAUGGUUAAUUUACGGCUAAAUUGAUUUAUAAACAUGUUUGGAACAUAGUAACCUACCUAAUGUUUAUAAACAUGUGGUUAAUUUACGGCUAAAUUAAUUCCAGCAGGGAUGAUUGCUCAUGAUUCUAAUGUCCAGAUAACUGUACUAUUUGUAGUUAUCAUGAUCUUGUAAUCAUGUCCAACGUUAAAUCUUAUUGUUCUAAGUGCUGGGGUAUUUGUGUAAUGUAUUCAAUUCUGGUAUGAUAGCUAAUAUGAAAAAAUAUACAAAUUAAGUUAGUUCCAAUGGUUUGAUGUUUUGUGGUCUUUGCUUUUGGCAAGCCAUGGGAUAUGUAUAUGGUAAUGAAGUUCUUGUGUUGCUGAUAUGCAUGUAUACUUUUUCCGUGCGAAUGAAGAGGUGUCGGUCACCUUCUAGGGCUGCUGCUUAUGCCGACGUAUUCCUUGACAACAUCCGCGAGAUGUUGCUUCAUGAUUUCCGUAGUUUAGGAACAAGGGUUGCAUGCUUUGUCAUAAAGAAGCUGAUAGGACAGAAGUUGAACAAAGAGGCUCCUGCCUUGACUUUCUGCUUUGUCGGUUACCUCUGUGGCUGAUACGUCUUAUUCUAUCGGCGGUGACCAUUACCGGCUGCAUACUUCUUCUUGAAGGUGACGUCGUGGUCAUAACUGCAGCUGCAACAUGUGUAAGGGGAGAUUAUACAAUUAUAGUUCAAAUCCAUGUGGUCGUUAUGGAGACCAUAGUAGGGAUCUCUCAACUAUUCCCUUAAUUGGUGAGUAAUCUACAUCAUGAUUGUAGGUACACUUUUUCACUUGAAGCUCAGCAGAACGCGCUUAAAAUUUGUUUUUGAAGAGAGCAUUUUCUUUUUCCUAUAUCCAAGGUGUACACUUUCUGCUCAUCUGGCUGCGUGGAGCAAUCACAUGUUAGCAAUCAGUAAGAACGGAUAUAUUCUUGGUAGCGGGGAACUUUGUGAUGAUUUCUUUGUGAAUCAAUACUUUAUUUGCCUACUUAUUGAGAAGGAUGCAAAGAACAAGAAGAAGCUGAACUAUGUAAAGAAGAGAAGAAAUCAAGACCGGAUUUCCUACACUCAUACGAAACUGAGCACAAGAACGACUAUCUAGGUGCGUCCACCUGCCUUUUACUGAAAAAAUGUGAUGUUUUUUUGUUGCAUGUGCAAAUAAAAUAGAUGUUUAUCUUUGAGCUAGUUUGGGGCCUAUGAUUCACAUGUUAUAGUGUUGCUUCAUGAUUUGUUAGCUGGCUGUUGUUGCCUUGGUCAAAAUGUGCUAAACUUAUUGUCACCUUGGGUUAAUUACUAUCCUCACUAAACAUUUGAGGCAUGUCCAGUUUACUAGUACUCUCACCAGGUUACCACUACAAUAAACAUUUGUGUUUAUGAUUUUGAGGUAAAGAAGAGAAGAAAUCAAGACUGGACUUCCUCCGCUCAGACAACAGACAACGCUAGGCGACACGAGAACCACCAUGAAAAGUGUUGUUGUACGCCAGCGAGGGUAUGCCCUCCUUCCCCGUGUGGUCUGUCCUGUCUUCUCGGACGUGCUUGUAAGGUUGCGCUAGCUGUCCCAACGCAGCCAGUAAGACACCUCUUGUCCUACACCUACUAUGCAUGGAUAUUAAGGUGCUAAGGUGAUCAACCGUCGCCUCGACCACCUAUGGGCCUAGGCGGGUAAAACAUGCUUUUUGUUUACAUGAUUCGCAUGAAUUGUGAUGCACAAGUGUAGUACGUUCUAUCUGAUGUGCAUACUCAGUUUUUCCUGUGGCUAGAUAGCUAGUGUAGAUGAUGGCAGGAACUAAUUUGCUGUGCUGAACAAAUUUUGCAAAUAGUACCAUGAACAACUCCUUGAAAGAAACACCAGGUUGUAUGGAACGAUACAUUAAAAGAAGUACUAGGUCUCCCUUGGGUUCGAUCUCGAAUGACGACCCUUUCCGAGAAGAGGAGAACCACCCUGAACCAACGAGCGCCAUGGACCACGCGGCCAAGGAAGCGUGGUGCUGCUGCUAGGUGCCAGCGAGGAGAUGCCCUGCUUCCCCGUGAGGUCCGUUCUAGGUGUCUUGUCAGAUGUGCUCACAAGGCCAUGAAACCGGUUGUUUCUACAAUGGGGAGAUGGUUAGAAGCUCGUGUCAAACUCCUUGGUGCAGCAUUCCACCGUUUUGUACCGAUGAUUUUUCGACGACCAUCUCAACAAUAGAUUGUGAGGUUCUUGCAUGGAGAGUCUCUUCAUCACUGUCCAUCAGCAUAGUUCCCGCUUGAGGCAUUGCGAUCCGCAACCUGUAUAGUAGAAUUACGUGGUUUGGGUUUGGCAUGAAGAUUAUCGUGUCAAUAUUUUGAUGGGGUUCUUCCCCUUGAGUGAUGUUGUAUUGUUGCUAGGUUUGUAGUGCAGAUCGAAUUCGUUGUAGGGUAUGGUGUAUGCAGCUUGGUGGUAGCAAUUCUUGUUGGAUGCUCAGUAAUAGCUGAUGAAUGAAUGUUGUUGAAAUGAAUUGUAUGUGCUUUCGUAAUUUUUUUUGAUAUAAAUACAUGAGAGUAGCCCACCAUUUGUUGA